rnacentral:rRNA from 1 species
UUGAACGCUGGCGGCAUGCCUUACACAUGCAAGUCGAACGGUAGAGGGGCAACCCUUGAGAGUGGCGAACGGGUGAGUAAUAUAUCGGAACGUGCCCAGUCGUGGGGGAUAACGCAGCGAAAGCUGCGCUAAUACCGCAUACGAUCUAAGGAUGAAAGCGGGGGAUCGCAAGACCUCGCGCGAUUGGAGCGGCCGAUAUCAGAUUAGGUAGUUGGUGGGAUAAAAGCCUACCAAGCCGACGAUCUGUAGCUG